rnacentral:misc_RNA from 1 species
GAUGAAGAACGCAGCGAAAUGCGAUAAGUAAUGUGAAUUGCAGAAUUCAGUGAAUCAUCGAAUCUUUGAACGCAUCUUGCGCUCCUUGGUAUUCCGAGGAGCAUGCCUGUUUGAGUGUCAUUAAAUUCUCAACCUUACUAGCUUUUGCGAAGUAAGGCUUGGAUGUGGGGGUUACUUUUGCUGGCUUCUAACGAGGUCGGCUCCCCUGAAAUGCAUUAGCGGUGCCCUUGUGGACCCCGACUAUCAGUGUGAUAAUUAUCUACGCUGUUAGGCGCCCACGCUUUAGUGCUGCUUCUAACCGUCCGGUUUCCGGACAACACAAAUGACAUUUCUGACCUCAAAUCAGGUAGGACUACCCGCUGAACUUAAGCAUAUCAAUAAGCGGAGGA